GAUGAACGCUAGCUACAGGCUUAACACAUGCAAGUCGAGGGGUAACGAGAGGAAAGCUUGCUUUCCUUGUCGACGACCGGCGCACGGGUGAGUAACGCGUAUCCAACCUGCCCCCAACUAGGGAAUAACCUUGCGAAAGUAAGACUAAUACCCUAUAAUUUCCUCAGAUGACAUCUGACGAGGAAUAAAGAUUUAUCGGUUGUGGAUGGGGAUGCGUCUGAUUAGCUUGUUGGCGGGGUAACGGCCCACCAAGGCAACGAUCAGUAGGGGUUCUGAGAGGAAGGUCACCCACAUUGGAACUUAGACACGGUCCAAACUCCGACGGGAGGCAGCAGUGAGGAAUAUUGGUCAAUGGGCGGAAGCUUGAACCAGCCAAGUAGCGUGCAGGAUGACGGCCCUAUGGGUUGUAAACUGCUUUUAUACAGGAAUAAAGUUAGCCACGUGUGGUUAUUUGUAGGUACUGUAUGAAUAAGGACCGGCUAAUUCCGUGCCAGCCGCCGCCGUAA
rnacentral:rRNA from 1 species